rnacentral:rRNA from 1 species
CUUAAGCAUAUCAAUAAGCGGAGGAAAAGAAACCAACAGGGAUUGCCUCAGUAACGGCGAGUGAAGCGGCAACAGCUCAAAUUUGAAAUCUGGCUCUUUCAGGGUCCGAGUUGUAAUUUGUAGAAGAUGCUUUGGGUGUGGCUCCGGUCUAAGUUCCUUGGAACAGGACGUCGUAGAGGGUGAGAAUCCCGUAUGUGACCGGCUGCCUCCGCCUGUGUAAAGCUCUUUCGACGAGUCGAGUUGUUUGGGAAUGCAGCUCAAAAUGGGUGGUAAAUUUCAUCUAAAGCUAAAUAUUGGCCAGAGACCGAUAGCGCACAAGUAGAGUGAUCGAAAGAUGAAAAGCACUUUGGAAAGAGAGUUAAACAGUACGUGAAAUUGUUGAAAGGGAAGCGCUUGCAAUCAGACUUGCGCGCGGCCGAUCAUCCGAGGUUCUCCCCGGUGCACUCGACCGCGCUCAGGCCAGCAUCGGUUUCGGUGGUGGGAUAAAGGCCGUGGGAAUGUGGCUCCUCUCGGGGAGUGUUAUAGCCCAUGGUGCAAUGCCGCCUACCGGGACCGAGGACCGCGCUUCGGCUAGGAUGCUGGCGUAAUGGUUGUAAGCGACCCGUCUUGAAACACGGAUCGAGGAGUCUAACAUUUAUGCGAGUGUUUGGGUGUUAAACCCAUACGCGCAAUGAAAGUGAACGGAGGUGAGAACCCUUAAGGGUGCAUCAUCGACCGAUCCUGAUGUCUUCGGAUGGAUUUGAGUAAGAGCAUAACUGUUGGGACCCGAAAGAUGGUGAACUAUGCCUGAAUAGGGUGAAGCCAGAGGAAACUCUGGUGGAGGCUCGCAGCGGUUCUGACGUGCAAAUCGAUCGUCAAAUUUGGGUAUAGGGGCGAAAGACUAAUCGAACCAUCUAGUAGCUGGUUCCUGCCGAAGUUCCC